AAAUUGAAGAGUUUGAUCAUGGCUCAGAUUGAACGCUGGCGGCAGGCCUAACACAUGCAAGUCGAACGGUAGCACAGAGAGCUUGCUCUCGGGUGACGAGUGGCGGACGGGUGAGUAAUGUCUGGGAAACUGCCUGAUGGAGGGGGAUAACUACUGGAAACGGUGGCUAAUACCGCAUAACGUCGCAAGACCAAAGAGGGGGACCUUCGGGCCUCUUGCCAUC
rnacentral:rRNA from 1 species